GACGAACGCUGGCGGCGUGCUUAACACAUGCAAGUCGAACGGAAAGGCCCUGCUUUGGUUGGGUGCUCGAGUGGCGAACGGGUGAGUAACACGUGAGUAACCUGCCCUGUACUGUGGGAUAACUUCAGGAAACUGUGGCUAAUACCGGAUAGGAGCUCCUGCUGCAUGGUGGGGGUUGGAAAGGUUCGGCGGUUGGGGAUGGACUCGCGGCUGAUCAGCUUGUUGGUGGGGUAGUGGCUUACCAAGGCUUUGACGGGUAGCCGGCCUGAGAGGGUGACCGGCCACAUUGGGACUGAGAUACGGCCCAGACUCCUACGGGAGGCAGCAGUGGGGAAUAGUGCACGAUGGGCGGAAGCCUGAUGCAGCAACGCCGCGUGCGGGAUGACGGCCUUCGGGUUGUAAACCGCUUUCGCCUGUGACGAAGAGUGAGUGACGGUAAUGGGUAAAGAAGCAACGGCUAACUACGUG
rnacentral:rRNA from 1 species